rnacentral:rRNA from 1 species
UACGAAGGGGGCUAGCGUUGCUCGGAAUCACUGGGCGUAAAGCGCACGUAGGCGGCUUGUUAAGUCAGGGUUGAAAUCCUGGAGCUCAACUCCAGAACUGCCUUUGAUACUGGCGAUCUUGAGUCCGGGAGAGGUGAGUGGAACUCCGAGUGUAGAGGUGAAAUUCGUAGAUAUUCGGAAGAACACCAGUGGCGAAGGCGGCUCACUGGCCCGGUACUGACGCUGAUGUGCGAAAGCGUGGGGAGCAAACAGG